rnacentral:snRNA from 1 species
AUCGCUUCUCGGCCUUUUGGCUAAGAUCAAGUGUAGUAUCUGUUCUUAUUGAUCGCUUCUCGGCCUUUUGGCUAAGAUCAAGAUCGAGAGCAGUACCCCGGGGAUCCUCA